GCGAACGGGUGAGUAACACGUGAGUAACCUGCCCUUGACUCUGGGAUAAGCCUGGGAAACUGGGUCUAAUACCGGAUACGACCAUCUGACGCAUGUCAUGGUGGUGGAAAGCUUUUGUGGUUUUGGAUGGACUCGCGGCCUAUCAGCUUGUUGGUGGGGUAAUGGCCUACCAAGGCGACGACGGGUAGCCGGCCUGAGAGGGUGACCGGCCACACUGGGACUGAGACACGGCCCAGACUCCUACGGGAGGCAGCAGUGGGGAAUAUUGCACAAUGGGCGCAAGCCUGAUGCAGCGACGCCGCGUGAGGGAUGACGGCCUUCGGGUUGUAAACCUCUUUCAGUAGGGAAGAAGCGAAAGUGACGGUACCUGCAGAAGAAGCGCCGGCUAACUACGUGCCAGCAGCCGCGGUAAUACGUAGGGCGCAAGCGUUAUCCGGAAUUAUUGGGCGUAAAGAGCUCGUAGGCGGUUUGUCGCGUCUGCUGUGAAAGACCGGGGCUCAACUCCGGUUCUGCAGUGGGUACGGGCAGACUAGAGUGCAGUAGGGGAGACUGGAAUUCCUGGUGUAGCGGUGAAAUGCGCAGAUAUCAGGAGGAACACCGAUGGCGAAGGCAGGUCUCUGGGCUGUAACUGACGCUGAGGAGCGAAAGCAUGGGGAGCGAACAGGAUUAGAUACCCUGGUAGUCCAUGCCGUAAACGUUGGGCACUAGGUGUGGGGGACAUUCCACGUUUUCCGCGCCGUAGCUAACGCAUUAAGUGCCCCGCCUGGGGAGUACGGCCGCAAGGCUAAAACUCAAAGGAAUUGACGGGGGCCCGCACAAGCGGCGGAGCAUGCGGAUUAAUUCGAUGCAACGCGAAGAACCUUACCAAGGCUUGACAUGAACCGGAAAGACCUGGAAACAGGUGCCCCGCUUGCGGUCGGUUUACAGGUGGUGCAUGGUUGUCGUCAGCUCGUGUCGUGAGAUGUUGGGUUAAGUCCCGCAACGAGCGCAACCCUCGUUCUAUGUUGCCAGCGCGUUAUGGCGGGGACUCAUAGGAGACUGCCGGGGUCAACUCGGAGGAAGGUGGGGACGACGUCAAAUCAUCAUGCCCCUUAUGUCUUGGGCUUCACGCAUGCUACAAUGGCCGGUACAAAGGGUUGCGAUACUGUGAGGUGGAGCUAAUCCCAAAAAGCCGGUCUCAGUUCGGAUUGGGGUCUGCAACUCGACCCCAUGAAGUCGGAGUCGCUAGUAAUCGCAGAUCAGCAACGCUGCGGUGAAUACGUUCCCGGGCCUUGUACACACCGCCCGUCAAGUC
rnacentral:rRNA from 1 species